AACGAACGCUGGCGGCAUGCCUAACACAUGCAAGUCGAACGAGACCUUCGGGCUUGGUGGUGCACGCGUGGGUAACGCGUGGGGACCUGCCUAUAAGUCUGGAAUAACUUCCCGAAUGGGGUGCUGAUACGGGCUCUAAUACUCGGUACAAAGUUUUAUAGCAUUUGGAUGGGCCCGCGUUGGAUUAGCUAGAUGGUAGGGUAAAAGGCUACAAAGGCGACGUUCCAUAGCUGGCUAGAGAGGCUGAGCACCCACACUGGGACGGAGACACGGCCCAGACUCCUACGCGAGGCAGCAGUGCGUGAUAUUGGACAACGGGCGGAAGCCUGAUCGAGCAAGGCCGCGUGAGUGAUGAAGGUCGUAGGGUUGGAAAGCACGUUUACCCGGGAUGAUAAUGACAGUACCGGGAGAAUAAGCUCCGGCUAACUCCGUG
rnacentral:rRNA from 1 species